GGUUAAGCGACUAAGCGUACACGGUGGAUGCCCUGGCAGUCAGAGGCGAUGAAGGACGUGCUAAUCUGCGAUAAGCGUCGGUAAGGUGAUAUGAACCGUUAUAACCGGCGAUUUCCGAAUGGGGAAACCCAGUGUGAUUCGUCACACUAUCAUUAACUGAAUCCAUAGGUUAAUGAGGCGAACCGGGGGAACUGAAACAUCUAAGUACCCCGAGGAAAAGAAAUCAACCGAGAUUCCCCCAGUAGCGGCGAGCGAACGGGGAGCAGCCCAGAGCCUGAAUCAGUGUGUGUGUUAGUGGAAGCGUCUGGAAAGGCGCGCGAUACAGGGUGACAGCCCCGUACACAAAAAUGCACAUGCUGUGAGCUCGAUGAGUAGGGCGGGACACGUGGUAUCCUGUCUGAAUAUGGGGGGACCAUCCUCCAAGGCUAAAUACUCCUGACUGACCGAUAGUGAACCAGUACCGUGAGGGAAAGGCGAAAAGAACCCCGGCGAGGGGAGUGAAAAAGAACCUGAAACCGUGUACGUACAAGCAGUGGGAGCACGCUUAGGCGUGUGACUGCGUACCUUUUGUAUAAUGGGUCAGCGACUUAUAUUCUGUAGCAAGGUUAACCGAAUAGGGGAGCCGAAGGGAAACCGAGUCUUAACUGGGCGUUAAGUUGCAGGGUAUAGACCCGAAACCCGGUGAUCUAGCCAUGGGCAGGUUGAAGGUUGGGUAACACUAACUGGAGGACCGAACCGACUAAUGUUGAAAAAUUAGCGGAUGACUUGUGGCUGGGGGUGAAAGGCCAAUCAAACCGGGAGAUAGCUGGUUCUCCCCGAAAGCUAUUUAGGUAGCGCCUCGUGAAUUCAUCUCCGGGGGUAGAGCACUGUUUCGGCAAGGGGGUCAUCCCGACUUACCAACCCGAUGCAAACUGCGAAUACCGGAGAAUGUUAUCACGGGAGACACACGGCGGGUGCUAACGUCCGUCGUGAAGAGGGAAACAACCCAGACCGCCAGCUAAGGUCCCAAAGUCAUGGUUAAGUGGGAAACGAUGUGGGAAGGCCCAGACAGCCAGGAUGUUGGCUUAGAAGCAGCCAUCAUUUAAAGAAAGCGUAAUAGCUCACUGGUCGAGUCGGCCUGCGCGGAAGAUGUAACGGGGCUAAACCAUGCACCGAAGCUGCGGCAGCGACACUGUGUGUUGUUGGGUAGGGGAGCGUUCUGUAAGCCUGUGAAGGUGUGCUGUGAGGCAUGCUGGAGGUAUCAGAAGUGCGAAUGCUGACAUAAGUAACGAUAAAGCGGGUGAAAAGCCCGCUCGCCGGAAGACCAAGGGUUCCUGUCCAACGUUAAUCGGGGCAGGGUGAGUCGACCCCUAAGGCGAGGCCGAAAGGCGUAGUCGAUGGGAAACAGGUUAAUAUUCCUGUACUUGGUGUUACUGCGAAGGGGGGACGGAGAAGGCUAUGUUGGCCGGGCGACGGUUGUCCCGGUUUAAGCGUGUAGGCUGGUUUUCCAGGCAAAUCCGGAAAAUCAAGGCUGAGGCGUGAUGACGAGGCACUACGGUGCUGAAGCAACAAAUGCCCUGCUUCCAGGAAAAGCCUCUAAGCAUCAGGUAACAUCAAAUCGUACCCCAAACCGACACAGGUGGUCAGGUAGAGAAUACCAAGGCGCUUGAGAGAACUCGGGUGAAGGAACUAGGCAAAAUGGUGCCGUAACUUCGGGAGAAGGCACGCUGAUAUGUAGGUGAAGUCCCUCGCGGAUGGAGCUGAAAUCAGUCGAAGAUACCAGCUGGCUGCAACUGUUUAUUAAAAACACAGCACUGUGCAAACACGAAAGUGGACGUAUACGGUGUGACGCCUGCCCGGUGCCGGAAGGUUAAUUGAUGGGGUUAGCGCAAGCGAAGCUCUUGAUCGAAGCCCCGGUAAACGGCGGCCGUAACUAUAACGGUCCUAAGGUAGCGAAAUUCCUUGUCGGGUAAGUUCCGACCUGCACGAAUGGCGUAAUGAUGGCCAGGCUGUCUCCACCCGAGACUCAGUGAAAUUGAACUCGCUGUGAAGAUGCAGUGUACCCGCGGCAAGACGGAAAGACCCCGUGAACCUUUACUAUAGCUUGACACUGAACAUUGAGCCUUGAUGUGUAGGAUAGGUGGGAGGCUUUGAAGUGUGGACGCCAGUCUGCAUGGAGCCGACCUUGAAAUACCACCCUUUAAUGUUUGAUGUUCUAACGUUGACCCGUAAUCCGGGUUGCGGACAGUGUCUGGUGGGUAGUUUGACUGGGGCGGUCUCCUCCUAAAGAGUAACGGAGGAGCACGAAGGUUGGCUAAUCCUGGUCGGACAUCAGGAGGUUAGUGCAAUGGCAUAAGCCAGCUUGACUGCGAGCGUGACGGCGCGAGCAGGUGCGAAAGCAGGUCAUAGUGAUCCGGUGGUUCUGAAUGGAAGGGCCAUCGCUCAACGGAUAAAAGGUACUCCGGGGAUAACAGGCUGAUACCGCCCAAGAGUUCAUAUCGACGGCGGUGUUUGGCACCUCGAUGUCGGCUCAUCACAUCCUGGGGCUGAAGUAGGUCCCAAGGGUAUGGCUGUUCGCCAUUUAAAGUGGUACGCGAGCUGGGUUUAGAACGUCGUGAGACAGUUCGGUCCCUAUCUGCCGUGGGCGCUGGAGAACUGAGGGGGGCUGCUCCUAGUACGAGAGGACCGGAGUGGACGCAUCACUGGUGUUCGGGUUGUCAUGCCAAUGGCACUGCCCGGUAGCUAAAUGCGGAAGAGAUAAGUGCUGAAAGCAUCUAAGCACGAAACUUGCCCCGAGAUGAGUUCUCCCUGACCCUUUAAGGGUCCUGAAGGAACGUUGAAGACGACGACGUUGAUAGGCCGGGUGUGUAAGCGCAGCGAUGCGUUGAGCUAACCGGUACUAAUGAACCGUGAGGCUUAACCUU
rnacentral:rRNA from 1 species